rnacentral:rRNA from 1 species
AUUGAACGCUGGCGGCAGGCCUAACACAUGCAAGUCGAGCGAGCGGCGGACGGGUGAGUACUGUCUGGGAAACUGCCUGAUGGAGGGGGAUAACUACUGGAAACGGUAGCUAAUACCCCAUACCAUCAGAUGUGCCCAGAGGGGAUUAGCUAGUCGGUGGGGUAACGGCUCACCUCGGCGCCGAUCCCUACCUGGUCUGAGAGGAUGACCAGCCACACUGGAACUGAGACCCGGUCCAGACUCCUACGGUAUGCAGCAGUGGGGAAGAGGGCACAAUGGGCGCAAGCCUGAUGCAGCCAGGCCGCGUGUGUGAAGAAGGCCUUCGGGUUGUAAAGCACUUUCAGCGGGGAGGCGUUACCCGCAGAAGAAGCACCGGCUAACUCCGUGCCAGCAGCCGCGGUAAUUC